UACGUAGGGCGCAAGCGUUGUCCGGAAUUAUUGGGCGUAAAGAGCUCGUAGGCGGUUUGUCGCGUCUGUUGUGAAAUCCUAAGGCUCAACCUUGGGCUUGCAGUGGGUACGGGCAGACUAGAGUGCGGUAGGGGUGACUGGAAUUCCUGGUGUAGCGGUGGAAUGCGCAGAUAUCAGGAGGAACACCGAUGGCGAAGGCAGGUCACUGGGCCGCAACUGACGCUGAGGAGCGAAAGCAUGGGGAGCGAACAGG
rnacentral:rRNA from 1 species